rnacentral:rRNA from 1 species
AUUGAACGCUGGCGGCAUGCCUUACACAUGCAAGUCGAACGGCAGCACGGGUGCUUGCACCUGGUGGCGAGUGGCGAACGGGUGAGUAAUACAUCGGAACGUACCUUAUCGUGGGGGAUAACGCAGCGAAAGCUGUGCUAAUACCGCAUACGCCCUGAGGGGGAAAGCGGGGGAUCGCAAGACCUCGCGCGAUUAGAGCGGCCGAUGCCUGAUUAGCUUGUUGGUGGGGUAAAAGCCCACCAAGGCGACGAUCAGUAGCUGGUCUGAGAGGACGAUGUGCCCGACUGGGACUGGGCCACGGGCCAGACUCUUACGGGAGGCAGCAGUGGGGAAUUUUGGACAAUGGGGGCAACCCUGAUCCAGCAUUGCCGCGUGAGUGAAGAAGGCCUUCGGGUUGUAAAGCUCUUUUGUCAGGGAAGAAACACCGGCUCUAACACAGUCCGGGAAUGACGGUACCUGAAGAAUAAGCACCGGCUAACUACGUGCCAGCCGCCGCCGUAA